UUGACUUUCCAAAUAAAUA
rnacentral:snRNA from 1 species